AGGUCAAGCUACAAAGGGCGCAUGGUGAAUGCCUUGGCAUCAGGAGCCGAUGAAGGACGCGAUAAGCUGCGAUAAGCUUCGGGUAGACGCACAUAGUCAGAGAUCCGAAGAUUUCCGAAUGAGGAAACUCACAUGGGAAACCCCAUGUAUCAUAAAGUGAAUACAUAGCUUUAUGAAGGUAAACCCAGGGAACUGAAACAUCUAAGUACCUGGAGGAAGAGAAAGAAAAAUCGAUUUUCUUAGUAGCGGCGAGCGAAAAGGAAAGAGCCCAAACCAGAGAUUUAUCUCUGGGGUUGCGGACAGAACAUAACGUGAAAUUAUAGUUAAUUGAACACAACUGGAAAGUUGGACCGUAGGAGGUAAUAGUCCUGUAAAUGAAAACUAUAAUGAGCAGUUCUGCACCAGAGUACCACGAGACACGUGAAACCUUGUGGGAAGCAGGGAGGACCACCUCCCAAGGCUAAAUACUACCUGAUGACCGAUAGUGAAGCAGUACCGUGAGGGAAAGGUGAAAAGAACCCCGGGAGGGGAGUGAAAUAGAACCUGAAACCANAUUGAACACAACUGGAAAGUUGGACCACAGUGGGUAAUAGUCCCGUAAGUGAAAACUAUGAUAAUCAGUUCUGCACCAGAGUACCACGAGACACGUGAAACCUUGUGGGAAGCAGGGAGGACCACCUCCCAAGGCUAAAUACUACCUGAUGACCGAUAGUGAAGCAGUACCGUGAGGGAAAGGUGAAAAGAACCCCGGGAGGGGAGUGAAAUAGAACCUGAAACCAUGUGCCUACAACCGAUCAAAGCACCUUAUGUGUGUGAUGAUGUGCUUUUUGUAGAACGAGCCAACGAGUUACGGUAUGUAGCGAGGUUAAGUACUUAAGGUACGGAGCCGAAGGGAAACCGAGUCUUAAUAGGGCGACUAGUUGCAUGCUGUAGACCCGAAACCGGGUGACCUAUCCAUGGCCAGGUUGAAGCGAGGGUAAAACCUCGUGGAGGACCGAACCACGUUGCUGUUNAAAUACUACCUGAUGACCGAUAGUGAAGCAGUACCGUGAGGGAAAGGUGAAAAGAACCCCGGGAGGGGAGUGAAAUAGAACCUGAAACCAUGUGCCUACAACCGAUCAGAGCACCUUAUGUGUGUGAUGAUGUGCUUUUUGUAGAACGAGCCAACGAGUUAUGGUAUGUAGCGAGGUUAAGUACUUAAGGUACGGAGCCGAAGGGAAACCGAGUCUUAAUAGGGCGACUAGUUGCAUGCUGUAGACCCGAAACCGGGUGACCUAUCCAUGGCCAGGUUGAAGCGAGGGUAAAACCUCGUGGAGGACCGAACCACGUUGCUGUUGAAAAAGCAUGGGAUGAGCUGUGGAUAGCGGAGAAAUUCCAAUCGAACUCGGAUAUAGCUGGUUCUCCUCGAAAUAGCUUUAGGGCUAGCGUCGGAAAAUGUGAGUAGUGGAGGUAGAGCACUGAAUAGGCUAGGGGGCAUAGCGCUUACCGAACCUUAUCAAACUCCGAAUGCCACAUACUAUCAGUCCGGCAGUCAGACUAUGAAAGAUAAGUUCCAUGGUCAAAAGGGAAACAGCCCAGAUCGUCAGCUAAGGUCCCAAAGUGUAAGUUAAGUGGAAAAGGAUGUGGGAUUUCUAAGACAACUAGGAUGUUGGCUUAGAAGCAGCCACUCAUUAAAAGAGUGCGUAAUAGCUCACUAGUCAAGAGAUCCUGCGCCGAAAAUGUCCGGGGCUCAAACUUACCACCGAAGCUACGGGUUCACGCAUUAGCGUGAGCGGUAGAGGAGCGUCGUAAUCGGGCUGAAGUCGUACCGUAAGGAGCGGUGGACUGAUUACGAGUGAGAAUGUUGGCAUUAGUAGCGAGAUGUAGGCGAGAAUCCUACAGGCCGAAUAUCUAAGGUUUCCUGAGUAAAGUUUGUCUUCUCAGGGUUAGUCGGGACCUAAGGCGAGGCCGAAAGGCGUAGUCGAUGGACAAUUGGUUGAUAUUCCAAUACCACUAUAAUCGUUAUUAUCGAUGGUGUGACGGAGAAGGAUAGGAUGUGCUAGCUAUUGGANUAAGUUAAGUGGAAAAGGAUGUGGGAUUUCUAAGACAACUAGGAUGUUGGCUUAGAAGCAGCCACUCAUUAAAAGAGUGCGUAAUAGCUCACUAGUCAAGAGAUCCUGCGCCGAAAAUGUCCGGGGCUCAAACUUACCACCGAAGCUACGGGUUCACGUUUUACGUGAGCGGUAGAGGAGCGUCGUAAUCGGGCUGAAGUCGUACCGUAAGGAGCGGUGGACUGAUUACGAGUGAGAAUGUUGGCAUUAGUAGCGAGAUGUAGGCGAGAAUCCUACAGGCCGAAUAUCUAAGGUUUCCUGAGUAAAGUUUGUCUUCUCAGGGUUAGUCGGGACCUAAGGCGAGGCCGAAAGGCGUAGUCGAUGGACAAUUGGUUGAUAUUCCAAUACCACUACAAUCGUUAUUAUCGAUGGUGUGACGGAGAAGGAUAGGAUGUGCUAGCUAUUGGAUGCUAGUCUAAGCGUUUAGGGAGUUGGGAUUGGCAAAUCCGUUCCAACAAUUCUGAGGCGUGAUGGGGAAGGUUCUACGGAGCCGAAGUAUCUGAUUCCAUGCUUCCAAGAAAAGCAUCUAGAGAGAGAAGUAGUGCCCGUACCGCAAACCGACACAGGUAGAUGAGGAGAGAAUCCUAAGGCCGACGGAAGAAUUGCAGUUAAGGAACUAGGCAAAUUGACCCCGUAACUUCGGGAGAAGGGGUGCCUGAGAAAUCAGGCCGCAGAGAAUAGGCACAAGCAACUGUUUAACAAAAACACAGGUCUCUGCUAAAGCGAAAGCUGAUGUAUAGGGGCUGACGCCUGCCCGGUGCUGGAAGGUUAAGGGGAACACUUAGUGGUAACGCGAAGGUGUGAACUUAAGCCCCAGUAAACGGCGGCCGUAACUAUAACGGUCCUAAGGUAGCGAAAUUCCUUGUCAGGUAAGUUCUGACCCGCACGAAUGGCGUAAUGACUUGUGCACUGUCUCAACUGCAAAUCCGGCGAAGUUGUAGUGCGAGUGAAGAUGCUCGCUACCCGCGAUUGGACGGAAAGACCCCGUAGAGCUUUACUGUAGCUUAGCAUUGAAUUUCGGUAUUGUCUGUACAGGAUAGGUGGGAGACUUGGAAACUAGGGCGUCAGCCUUGGUGGAGUCGUUGUUGGGAUACCACCCUGAUAGUAUUGAAGUUCUAACUGGAUGCCAUGAAACUGGUGACAGGACAUUGUUAGGUGGGCAGUUUGACUGGGGCGGUCGCCUCCUAAAAUGUAACGGAGGCGCCCAAAGGUUCCCUCAGAACGGUCGGAAAUCGUUCGAAGAGUGUAAAGGCAGAAGGGAGCCUGACUGCGACACCUACAAGUGGAGCAGGGACGAAAGUCGGGCUUAGUGAUCCGGUGGUACCUCGUGGGAGGGCCAUCGCUCAACGGAUAAAAGCUACCUCGGGGAUAACAGGCUGAUCUCCCCCAAGAGUUCACAUCGACGGGGAGGUUUGGCACCUCGAUGUCGGCUCGUCGCAUCCUGGGGCUGAAGUAGGUCCCAAGGGUUGGGCUGUUCGCCCAUUAAAGCGGCACGCGAGCUGGGUUCAGAACGUCGUGAGACAGUUCGGUCCCUAUCCGUCGCGGGCGUAGGAAAUUUGAGAGGAGCUGUCCUUAGUACGAGAGGACCGGGAUGGACUGACCUAUGNGGCACCUCGAUGUCGGCUCGUCGCAUCCUGGGGCUGAAGUAGGUCCCAAGGGUUGGGCUGUUCGCCCAUUAAAGCGGCACGCGAGCUGGGUUCAGAACGUCGUGAGACAGUUCGGUCCCUAUCCGUCGCGGGCGUAGGAAAUUUGAGAGGAGCUGUCCUUAGUACGAGAGGACCGGGAUGGACUGACCUAUGGUGUACCAGUUGUUUCGCCAGAAGCAUAGCUGGGUAGCUAAGUCGGGAAGGGAUAAACGCUGAAAGCAUCUAAGUGUGAAGCCCACCUCAAGAUGAGAUUUCCCAUAGCAUAAGCUAGUAAGACCCCUUGAAGACUACAAGGUUGAUAGGUCAGAGGUGUAAGUAUGGUAACGUAUUUAGCUGACUGAUACUAAUAGGUCGAGGGCUUGACCAAU
rnacentral:rRNA from 1 species